AGGCUUUUUAGGAUGUUUUCAGGUGUUCAUUAUGUGUGUUUACUCUGUAGCCAUUGGUGACCUUUUCCUUGUUUCUUCAUCCUUGUUGCCCAGUAGCGCUGAUGGGAGUCUUGCCAUGGAGUGAGUUGAAGGCUUUUUAUAAUGUUUUCAGGUCUUUAUUGUAUGUUAACUCUGUAUUGGUGACCUU